rnacentral:rRNA from 1 species
GGAAACGCGGUGCCGGCAGCGGCGGUAAUACGGAGGGUGGAAGGAUGAAUCGGAAUUACGGGGCGUAAAGCGAACGCAGGCGGUCAAUUAAGUCAGAUGUGAAAGCCCCGAGCUUAACUUGGGAAUUGCAUCUGAAACUGGUUGGCUAGAGUCUUGUAGAGGGGGGUAGAAUUCCAUGUGUAGCGGUGAAAUGCGUAGAGAUGUGGAGGAAUACCGGUGGCGAAGGCGGCCCCCUGGACAAAGACUGACGCUCGGGUGCGAAAGCGUGGGGAGCAAACAGGAUUAGAUACCCUAGUAGUC